ensembl:lncRNA
GUAUGAGGUGGGGCCGCCCAAAUUCAUUUUUAACAAGAUCCUAGAUGAUGUCAAUGCUGCUAUUGUGGGGUCCACUGCAUCGAAAACCCACAGGCCAGUGGCCAACAGAUUUCGGAUGUUCUGAUGUUACCAGUAGAAGAUGGUGGAAGAAUAGGAUGGGGAGACCACUUUCUCCCCCACAAAUUCAUCGAAAGAACAUUUGAACGCUGAGCAACUUCCACAAAACAACUUCUGAACGCUGGCAGAGGACAUCAGGCACCCAGAAAGUCAGUCCAUUGUCUUCCAAAGGAGUUAGGACAAAAUAUAAAAGAUGAAAAGAGAGACAAAAGAAUUAGGGACAGAGACCCAUCCUGGGAAGGGAGUCUUAAAAGAGAAGUUUCCAAACACUAGGAAACUCUCUCACCGGCGGGUCUGUGGGGAGUUUUGGAAUCUCAGAGGGCAACAUAACUGGGAGGAAAAAUAAAUAUAUAAAUAAAACCCACAGAUUAUGUGCCUAACAGCAACUCCUAGCAGAGAAAGUAGCCCAGACGCUCGCAUCCACCACCAGCAAGUGGGGGCUGAACAGGGAGGCGUGGGCUGCAGUUGCUUAGGGUAAGGACCGGGGCUGAAUGCCCUGAGGUUCAAUCUGAGGGAGCUAACGUGAGACAGCAACCCAAACUGUGGGAUAGCCAGAAAGAGAGAGAAAAAAAAAAAAGAGGAAAGAGAGAGAGACAGAACUUUCCCAUGAAAAUCUCUAACCUAAGGCACUGCCGGUGGCUCACAGAACAAAGGACUGAGCGAAUACCAGAGGAGAGUUAGCCGGCUGCAGACCGGCUCAUCCCCCACUGGAGGCAGGGAGGCAGGCAGGCAGGCAGGCAGGUGGGAGGCAGCCAGAGCCGGAAAGGGGCAAUCUCGCCCCUGAGACGGCAUCCUCUACCAAACUGUGAGCAGGCUCCCAGUUGCUAACGAAGACUUCCUGGGAUUCUGGACUCUUGACAUCCGCUGGGAGGGUUGCAGCCAGAGAUCAGCGCACCAGAGGAGACAGAUGGCACACCUGAGACGACGCUCCUGCUAUGCACCUAGGAAACCAAGCGGCUGGGACAGGAGAGGUGAUAAGAUGCACCACCCCACCUGGGGAGAGUGUGCUUGCCAAGCACCUGGUCGCCUGAGCUGCUCAGACGUGGGAAGGGCACAAAAUGCAGGCCCAGCCGAGUCUGUGCCUUUGUGGAGUACCUGAGAACCUGAACCUGAGCAGCUUAGACCUGGGAAGUACACGCACCGAGGGCCCACUUUAGACAGUUCCCCUGCAGAGCAGCCUGGAGCCUGAGCAGUGUAGAUUUGGAAAGCACACUCGCUGUGAGCAGGGGCAAACCCAGUGUGGCCCAGACACUGGGAGCACUCCCCUCAUACACCAGUGAUAUUUGUUUGCAGUGUUCCUCCCUCCCCACAGCACGAUUGAACAAGUGAGCCUAAAUAAGUGACCACCUUCACCCCCUUGUGUCAGGGCAGAAAUUAGACACUGAAGGGACUUGAAAACAGAAGCCAAAAUAGAGGGAACCGCUUUGGAAGUGACAGGUGCAACAGAUUAAAACCCUGGAGUUAGCACCAACUACAUUGGAAGGGGCCUAUAGAUCUUGAGAAGUAUAAGCUGGAACAAGGAACUAUCUGAAACUGAACUGACCCCACACUGCCCACAACAGCUCCAGAGAAAUUCCUAGAUAGAUUUUUACUAUUAUCAUUUUUUAAAUUAAAAAUUUUUUUUAAAAUUUUAAGCCCUCUAUUACUCCUUUAAUUUUCAUUUUUAUAACCUACUAUUACCUUGCAAAAAAAAAAGACCCUAUUUUUAAAGCAAACUUCAUAUAUAUUUUUUAUAAUUUUGUGAUUUUGUUUUGUUUUUUUUUAAUAUUGUAUUUUUGAGAGUCUGACCUCUACUCUAGAUUUUUAAUCUUUGCUUUUUGGUAUUUGUUAUCAAUUUUGUACCUUUAAUAAUUCAAUCUUCAAUACCUAUCUUUACUUAAGGGUGUGAUUACUGGCUUGAUUACUCUCUCCCCCUUUUCACUCUCCUAUUUCUAAAUAGAGGGACACCUCUCUGGGUGUCCCUCACUGUGGAGAAACUUUUCAUCAUUAACCUAGAUGUUUUAUCAUUGGUGCUGUAUAAAUGGAGAAGUCUUGAGACUACUCUAAGAAUAAGACUGAAAACCAGAAGCAGGAGGCUUAAGUCCAAAUCCUGAGAACACCAGAAAACUCCUGACUCCAGGGAACAUUAAUCGACAGGAGCUCAUCAAAAAGCCUCCAUACCUACACUGAAACCAAGCACCACCCAAGGGCCAACAAGUUCCAGAGCAAGACAUGCCAUGCAAGUUCUCCAGCAGCACAGGAACACAGCCCUGAACUUCAAUAUACAGGCUGCCCAAAGUCACACCAAACCCAUAGACAUCUCAAAACUCACUACUGGACACUUCAUUGCACUCCAGAGUGAAGAAAUAUAGCUGCACCCACCAGAACACUGACACAAGCUUCCCUAACCAGGAAACCUUGACAAGCCACUCGUCCAACCCCAUUCAUGGGGAGGAACCUCCACAGUAAAGAGGAACCACAAACUGCCAGAAUACAGAAAGGCCACCCCAAACACAGCAAUCUAAACAAGAUGAAAAGGCAGAGAAAUACUCGGCAGCUGAGUAAAUGCCCACCAAACCAAACAAAAGAGGAGGAAAUAGAGAGUCUGCCUGAAAAAGAAUUCAGAAUAAUGAUAGUAAAAAUGAUCCAAAAUCUUGAAAACAAAAUGGAGUUACAGAUAAAUAGCCUGGAUACAAGGAUUGAGAAGAUGCAAGAAAUGUUUAACAAAGACCUAGAAGAAAUAAAAAAAGAGCCAAUCAAUAAUGAAUAAUGCAAUAACUGAGAUCAAAAACAUUCUGGAGGGAAUCAACAGUAGGAUAACGGAGGCAGAAGAUAGGAUAAGUGAGGUAGAAAAUAGAAUGGUAGAAAUAAAUGAAGCAGAGAGGAAAAAAGAAAAAAGAAUC